UGCCUAACACAUGCAAGUCGAACGGCAGCACAGUAAAGAUUUCGGUCUUUACGGGUGGCGAGUGGCGGACGGGUGAGUAAAGCGUAGGAAUCUAUCCUGGAGAGUGGGAUAACCCGAGGAAACUCGGGCUAAUACCGCAUGAUAUCGAGAGAUCAAAGCAGGGGACCCUUCGGGGCCUUGCGCUCUAGGAUGAGCCUACGUCGGAUUAGCUAGUUGGUGGGGUAAAGGCCUACCAAGGCGACGAUCCGUAGCUGGUCUGAGAGGAUGACCAGCCACACUGGGACUGAGACACGGCCCAGACCCCUACGGGAGGCAGCAGUGGGGAAUCUUGGACAAUGGGGGAAACCCUGAUCCAGCCAUGCCGCGUGUGUGAAGAAGGCCUUCGGGUUGUAAAGCUC
rnacentral:rRNA from 1 species